GAUGAACGCUAGCGAUAGGCCUAACACAUGCAAGUCGAGGGGCAGCAUAGAGUAGCAAUACUUUGAUGGCGACCGGCGCACGGGUGAGUAACGCGUAUGCAACCUACCUACAUCAGGGGAAUAAACCUGAGAAAUUCGGACUAAUACCGUAUAAUACAGGGAUGCCGCAUGGCAAUAUUUGUUAAAGAUUUAUCGGAUGUAGAUGGGCAUUCGUUACAUUAGCUAGUUGGUAAGGUAACGGCUUACCUAGGCAACGAUGGAUAGGGGAACUGCGAGGGUAGUGCCCCACAACUGAACAGAGACACGGAACAGACACCUACGGGAGGUAGGAGUGAGGAAGGUUGGUCAAUGGACGAGAGUCUGAACAAACCAAAUCGCGUGUAGGAAGACUGCCCUACGAGUUGUAAACUUCUUUUGUGCAGGAAUAACAGACAUUACGUGUAAUGUAUUGCAUGUACUGUACGAAUAAGCAUCGGCUAAGUCCGUGCCAGCCGCCGCGGUAA
rnacentral:rRNA from 1 species